AGACAGCUAGGAUGUUGGCUUGGAAGCAGCCAUUCAUUUAAAGAGUGCGUAACAGCUCACUAGUCGAGGAGUCGGGCGUGGAUAAUAAUCGGGUAUUAAGUUGUCUACCGAAGCAGUGGGAUCAUUUAUAUGAUCGGUAGGGGAGCAUUCCAGUCGGCGUCGAAGGCGUACCGUGAGGUAUUCUGGAGCGUCUGGAAAAGCAAAUGUAGGUAUAAGUAACGAUAAAGGGGGCGGGAAACCCCCUCGCCGAAAGACUAAGGUUUCCUGAUCAACGCUAAUCGGAUCAGGGUAAGUCGGGUCCUAAGGCUCAGCCGAAGGGCGAUGCCGAUGGCAGAAACGGUUAAUAUUCCGUUACUACCUCCAGGAGUGAUGUGGAGACGCAGUAGUGACAAUGCCGCCAUCUGACGGAAUAGAUGGUUGAAGGGUGUAGAUGUUGAUCUUGGCAGGCAAAUCCACCAUGAGAAUCGAACCUGAUAGUAUGCCGCGUCCCUCGGGACAAGGCAAUAGUGCAUGUAAUCAUGCUGCCAAGAAAAUCCGCUAAACUAAAUCCUGUAGGUACCCGUACCGUAAACGGACACACGUAGUCGGGAUGAAUAUUCUAAGGCGCUUGAGUGAUUCACGGUUAAGGAACUAGGCAAACUGACCCUGUAACUUCGGGAUAAAGGGUCCCUACCCGGUGACGGGAGGGCGCAGAGAAUAGGUCCAGGCAACUGUUUAACAAAAACACAGGGCUGUGCGAAAUCGAAAGAUCCUGUAUACAGCCUGACACCUGCCCGGUGCUGGAAGGUUAAGAGGAGACGUCAUCGUUGAGAGAAGCGUUGAAUUGAAGCCCCAGUAAACGGCGGCCGUAACUAUAACGGUCCUAAGGUAGCGAAAUUCCUUGUCGGGUAAGUUCCGACCUGCACGAAUGGUGUAAUGAUCUGGACACUGUCUCAACCGUGAGCUCGGUGAAAUUGUAGUAUCGGUGAAGAUGCCGAUUACCCGCGAUGGGACGAAAAGACCCCGUGAACCUUUACUAUAGCUUAUCAUUGAAUCUGGGCACGUGAUGUGUAGGAUAGGUCGGAGGCUUUGAAGCAGGUACGCCAGUAUUUGUGGAGCCGCUGUUGAAAUACGACCCUUUAUUUGUUUGGAUUCUAACCCGUGGAUACGGGGACAUUGAUUGGUGGGUAGUUUGACUGGGGUGGUCGCCUCCAAAAGCGUAACGGAGGCUUCUA
rnacentral:rRNA from 1 species